GACGAACGCUGGCGGCGUGCCUAAUACAUGCAAGUCGAACGCAGAGGUGGGAGCUUGCUCUUCUGGAUGAGUUGCGAACGGGUGAGUAACACGUAGGUAACCUGCCUGGUAGCGGGGGGUAACUCUUGGAAACGAUAGCUAAUACCGCAUAACAGUAGAUGUUGCAUGACAUUCACUUAAAAGAUGCAAUUGCGCCACUACCAGAUGGACCGGCGUUGUUUUAGCUAGUUGGUGGGAUAACGGCCCACAAAGGCGCCGAUCCAUCGCAGACUUGGGAGGGGGUCCGCCCCCCCGGGACCUGGACACGGCCCCGGCCCCUUCCGGAGGCAGCAGUAGGGAAUUCUCGGCAAUUGGCGGAAGGCCGACCGGGCCACGCCGCGGUGGGGGAUAAGGUUCUCCGGUCGGUAAGCUCUGGUUUAUGGGAAGAACGAGUGGUGGAGGUGAAAGUGCACACUGUGACGGUACCUAAUCAGAAAGCGACGGCUAACUACGUG
rnacentral:rRNA from 1 species